rnacentral:snoRNA from 1 species
AUGCAUGUUAAUCCAAGAGCUGUGGCUCUGAGGUAGCUGCAGCUCUCCAACGACAUGCGAGAGCAACGGGAAGGUCUUUGACUGCUCGGCCUCUCCUGCCUGUUGCCGUCACUCACCCCUCCUAUAUGU